ACGCGAGCUGGGUUCAGAACGUCGUGAGACAGUUCGGUCCCUAUCCGUCGCAGGCGUAGGAAAUUUGAGAAGACCUGUCCUUAGUACGAGAGGACCGGGAUGGACGUACCUCUGGUGUACCAGUUGUCCUGCCAAGGGCAUGGCUGGGUAGCUAUGUACGGAAUGGAUAAGCGCUGAAAGCAUCUAAGCGCGAAGCCAACUUCAAGAUAAGAUUUCCCACCGCAAGGGUAAGACCCCAGAAAGACUAUCUGGUUGAUAGGUCGAAGGUGUAAGUGUAGCAAUGUAUUUAGCUUAUCGAUACUAAUAGGUCGAGGACUUGACCAAU
rnacentral:rRNA from 1 species